UCUACUCAACUGGUAAUUAUACUGGUUUCAUUUAAUUAAUUAAAUUAAUUAAAAUGUAUUAAUAGCAGGAUAUAUGACUGGAUAAAGCACGGUCAGAUUUCCAUAUUAAGAAAUCUUAGUUAACUAAAGAAUAUAUAGUUAUAAACAUUCCAUUCUGCAGGUGGAAUUAAGAAUAAUUAUAUAUUGAUGUGAUAUUAUCACGUGGUAGCAUACCGUUGUUUUUAUCCAGGUGUAUUG